CCUACGGGCGGCAGCAGUGAGGAAUAUUGGUCAAUGGUCGCGAGCCUGAACCAGCCAAGUAGCGUGAAGGAUGACUGCCCUACGGGUUGUAAACUUCUUUUAUAAAGGAAUAAAGUCAGGCACGUGUGCCUUUUUGUAUGUACUUUAUGAAUAAGGAUCGGCUAACUCCGUGCCAGCAGCCGCGGUAAUACGGAGGAUUCGAGCGUUAUCCGGAUUUAUUGGGUUUAAAGGGUGCGUAGGCGGGUUGUUAAGUCAGUUGUGAAAGCUUGCGGCUCAACCUUAAAAUUGCGAUUGAUACUGGCAGGCUAGAGUACAGUUGAGGUAGGCGGAAUGCGUGGUGUAGCGGUGAAAUGCUUAGAUAUCACGAAGAACUCCGAUUGCGAAGGCAGCUUACCAA
rnacentral:rRNA from 1 species